rnacentral:rRNA from 1 species
CAGCAGCCGCGGGAAUACGUAGGUGGCAAGCGUUGUCCGGAAUUAUUGGGCGUAAAGGGCUCGCAGGCGGUUCCUUAAGUCUGAUGUGAAAGCCCCCGGCUCAACCGGGGAGGGUCAUUGGAAACUGGGAAACUUGAGUGCAGAAGAGGAGAGUGGAAUUCCACGUGUAGCGGUGAAAUGCGUAGAGAUGUGGAGGAACACCAGUGGCGAAGGCGACUCUCUGGUCUGUAACUGACGCUGAGGAGCGAAAGCGUGGGGAGCGAACAGGAUUAGAUACCCGAGUAGUCCCUGUCUCUUAUAC